UGGAGGACGCUGUGUGUAAGUUACUAUCUAUACUUUUGAGGACACUUAAUCGGGCUGAAAAAAAAGGGAACAUGAUGAAUCCUGAGGAUGUGCUAUGUAAGUUUCGUAACUAAGCUUUAAAGGGACACUUAACCAGACUGAAAAUACAUGAUAAAUACUGGCUGGUAAUCCUAAAGAUACUGUAUGUAAGACUGUUUUUCGAGAGCUGAG